rnacentral:rRNA from 1 species
AUAACAUUCUGAAAAGAAUGCUAAUACCGCAUGACAUAUCGGAACCACAUGGUUUUGAUAUCAAAGAUUUUAUCGCUUGAAGAUGGACUCGCGUCCGAUUAGUUAGUUGGUGAGGUAACGGCUCACCAAGACCGCGAUCGGUAGCCGGACUGAGAGGUUGAACGGCCACAUUGGGACUGAGACACGGCCCAGACUCCUACGGGAGGCAGCAGUGGGGGAUAUUGCGCAAUGGGGGCAACCCUGACGCAGCAACGCCGCGUGAAGGAUGAAGGUUUUCGGAUUGUAAACUUCUUUUAUUAAGGACGAAAAAUGACGGUACUUAAUGAAUAAGCUCCGGCUAACUACGUGCCAGCAGCCGCGGUAAUACGUAGGGAGCAAGCGUUGUCCGGAUUUACUGGGUGUAAAGGGUGCGUAGGCGGCUUUGCAAGUCAGAUGUGAAAUCUAUGGGCUCAACCCAUAAACUGCAUUUGAAACUGUAGAGCUUGAGUGAAGUAGAGGCAGGCGGAAUUCCCCGUGUAGCGGUGAAAUGCGUAGAGAUGGGGAGGAACACCGGUGGCGAAGGCGGCCUGCUGGGCUUUAACUGACGCUGAGGCACGAAAGCGUGGGUAGCAAACAGGAUUAGAUACCCUGGUAGUCCACGCUGU